rnacentral:misc_RNA from 1 species
GUGAAUCAUCGAAUUUUUGAACGCAAAUUGCACUCUCCUCGGAGAGUAUGCCUGUUUGAGGGUCAGCCUAUAAAAACUCGACAUCGUUGCUGUUUCCCGGUGGCGUUCGGCUGAAAUUGGUUCAUCUUAAAUCUGUUGGUUUUAAGCGACGUAAGAUUGUCUUUUUGGUUCCAUGAACGUUUCUAAGAUUUAUUUCUUUACACGUUUAAGGUAUCGGUGUUUAUUAGACGUGACAAUCAUAUCGGAGCGCGCCCAUAAUCUUUC